GGGGCUACAUCAGGCUUGACUUCAAGUUUGGCCUUCACGCCUGUGCAAGGAAUCGAGCUGUCAAAUCCUCAGGCGCUUGCAAAUCAGCUUGGCAGUGGAACUCAGAGCACCUAUUUCUCGGAUACUGGAACGUUUUCUAAGAUCAAGAGAACAUGAACCAGACCUAAUGGUGCCAAUGUCCCGGUUCGCUCCGCUCAGUACAGUAAGACUACUGAAAAUGCAACCUUUUGACUUUUGAGAGAAGAAAGACUAAGCGUAUUGUCUGAUACAAUCAGAUGAGCAUAGAUGUACAUCUCAAUUACUAGACUUGCAAAAAUCUGUUAUUCUCUACUGUGUUGUCGCCUGUCCAAAUUAUUUUAAGUAUUUUGUUUGUUAUCGAACGGUAUCGAAAAUCGAAAAUGUUGCACCUCUUUGGACCUCA